rnacentral:rRNA from 1 species
GGGAAGAGCUCAAAUUUGAAAUCUGGCGUCCUCAGGGCGUCCGAGUUGUAAUCUAUAGAGGCGUUUUCCGUGCCGGACCGUGUCCAAGUUCCUUGGAACAGGAUAUCAAAGAGGGUGACAAUCCCGUACUUGACACGACGACCGGUGCUCUGUGAUACGUCUUCUACGAGUCGAGUUGUUUGGGAAUGCAGCUCAAAAUGGGUGGUGAGUUCCAUCUAAAGCUAAAUAUUGGCGAGAGACCGAUAGCGAACAAGUACCGUGAGGGAAAGAUGAAAAGCACUUUGGAAAGAGAGUUAAACAGUACGUGAAAUUGUUGAAAGGGAAACGAUUGAAGUCAGUCGUGACCGAGAGGCUCAGCCGGUUCUGCCGGUGUAUUCCCCUCGGUCGGGUCAACAUCAGUUUUGUCCGGUGGAUAAGGGCGGUAGGAAGGUGGCACCCUCGGGUGUGUUAUAGCCUGCCGUCGCAUACAUCGGGUGAGACUGAGGAACGCAGCUCGCCUUUAUGGCCGGGGUUCGCCCACGUCCGAGCUUAGGAUGUUGACAUAAUGGCUUUAAACGACCCGUCUUGAA